rnacentral:pre_miRNA from 1 species
GAUUUCAGCUGAAAAAGUCAUCAAUAACAAAGUUGUAUAACUCAUCAAGAUCUAUAACUUCUAUUUUGGUCAUUUCUUCAUCCGACCAAGCAAUUUGUAAGAUUGUUCACAAAAUAUACAUCUCUUAUAUUUUGUCAGAUGAAGAAAUGACCAAAAUAGAAGUUAUAGAUAUUGAUGAGUUAUACAACUUUGUUAUUGAUGACUUUUUCAGUUGAAUC